CAUCCUACGGGAGGCAGCAGUGGGGAGUAUUGCACAAUGGGGGAGACCCUGAUGCAGCGACGCCGCGUGAGCGAAGAAGUAUUUCGGUAUGUAAAGCUCUAUCAGCAGGGAAGAAAAAAGACGGUACCCGACUAAGAAGCCCCGGCUAACUACGUGCCAGCAGCCGCGGUAAUACGUAGGGGGCAAGCGUUAUCCGGAUUUACUGGGUGUAAAGGGAGCGUAGACGGCGCGGCAAGUCUGAAGUGAAAGGCAGGAGCUUAACCCCUGAACUGCUUUGUAAACUGCCAUGCUAGAGUGCUGGAGAG
rnacentral:rRNA from 1 species